rnacentral:lncRNA from 1 species
GUACAACGGGGCUGAUCACCCUCCGUACCCGUAAGCUAGAACGAUUUGCGGAUGAAUUUCUGCUAAACCUUUUCAAAAAUGAAAAACAAUGUUCAUAGUAUGUUUCUUAAACCCUAUUCAUGGGUAGAGCCUAAUUUCAAGAAUUUGAAAGAGAGUUGUUAUGUGAAUUUUUUUAUUAGUACAGAUUACUUCACAACUUUUGCUUCGUUGUAGAAGUGUUAUGUAAAGAGAAUACUUAUAUUCUUUCAGCUUAUAUAUAUAAUUGCUAUUACUUGUUGGGCACUCAAAUGCUCAUCCUUGCUUAAACUAAAUGUUUUCAG